UCCCCUGUGGUCUAGUGGUUAGGAUUCUGUGCUUUCAACACUGUGGCCUGGGUUUAAUUCCUGGUCUGAGAA
rnacentral:tRNA from 1 species